rnacentral:rRNA from 1 species
UAGGGAAUCUUCCACAAUGGGCGAAAGUCUGAUGGAGCAACGCCGCGUGUGUGAUGAAGGCUUUAGGGUCGUAAAGCACUGUUGUAUGGGAAGAAAUGCUAGAAUAGGGAAUGAUUCUAGUUCGACGGUACCAUACCAGAAAGGGACGGCUAAAUACGUGCCAC